rnacentral:lncRNA from 1 species
GGAGGGGGAGAGAGAGAGAAAGGAGGGAGGGGGAGAGAGACAGAAUGCCUGCCAGAUGGUGGGAUAACAAAGAUCAGCAAGUAGGCCGGGCACGGUGGCUCACGCCUGUAGUCCCAGCACUUUGGGAGGCGGAGGCGGGCGGAUCACGAGGUCAGGAGUUCGAGACUAGCCUGACCAACAGGGUAAAACCCCGUCUCUACUAAAAAUACAAAAAUUAGCCAGGCGUGGUGGUGCGCGCCUGUAAUCCCAGCUAUGUGGGAGGCUGAGGCAGAACUGCUUGAACCCAGGAGGCGGAGGUUGCAGUAAGCUAAGAUCGUGCCACUGAACUCCAGCCUGGAUGACAGGGCAAGACUCUGUCUCGGGGAAAAAAAAAAAAAGAUCAGCAAGUCUCUUUUCUACCCUAUAAUUUCUACAUCUGUCUUACUUUCUUCAUUGGAUAAACUCAGGGGAGCAGGAUUUAUGUAUGACUCAACUUCCCCACAAAUAGCAAUGCAGCAGCACCAUUCAGUAGAUACGAGGUUUCUGCCACGUCACUGUGUUACACCCUCAGGAGACCUCACAGAUCUCACAGGCACUGCAAUAGAAAGCCACGUGCAACACACAAGUUAUUUUCAAGAACUGCAAGGAUGCACCCAAAAAGCAGGUGCUGUUACACACCAACAACCACCAACUCGGAAAUAAGUUAGGAAAACCAUUGCAUUCACAAUAGCUACAGACAUUAAGCUUCACAGAAAAGUUUCCUAAGUAAACUCUGUUAAGAUCCGAAAGAAAAAAACCCAAUAACCAAUCAAACCGGGCAGAGGACAGAAGCAAAAUUCAGAAGAUACAAAUGGCUGAAACACCUUUAAAAGCAUCCUGGCCCUAGCUAACAGUCAAAUAAACACAUAUUUUCAUCUCUCAGAAUGGAAGAAAAGAUGAAGGCUGAUCACACCAAAAGUGUCAACAAGGGUGUAAAGAAAUGCACAUUUCAUUCACUGCUGGUGGGAAUAGAAAUUGAUAUAAGCUUUCUGGAGAGCAACCAGAUGUAUCCAUGAAAAUGUUUAAACGUGACUUUUUUUUUUUUUUUUUUUGAGACAGAGUCUUGCUCUGUCACCCAGGCUGGAGUGCAGUGGCAUAAUCUCGGCUCACUGCAACCUCUGCCUCCCGGUUCAAGCGAUUCUCCUGCCUCAGCCUCCCAAGUAGCUGGGAUUACAGGUGCAUGCCACCAGGCCCUGCUAAUUUUUUGUAUUUUUAAUAGAGAUGGGUUUCACCAUGUUGGCCAGGCUGGUUUUGAACUCCUGAUCUCAAGUGACCCACCUGUCUCGACCUCCCAAAGUGCUAUGAUUACAGGCAUGAGCCACUGCACCCAGCCAAACAUGACUUUUCCAUCCAGAGUAAAUCCAACUAACAAGAAUCCACCCUUGGAGUUCAUGUAAAAAUACAUGACACAGGGUGAUGAAAGUGCUUUGAAACUAGAUACAGGCAGUGGUUCUAUAGCAUGGUGAAUGUACUCAAGGCAACUUCUUUACUUUAAAAUCGUUAAUUUUAUGCCAUGUGAAUUGCAUCUCAAUAAAAAUUGUUUUCAUUUUAAAAAUUGUAAAUGACUGCAGUGUGUGUAUAGAGAUGAUCACUGUGGCGAGUAGUGGAGGCACUGGAGGCAGCCUGCAGGCCUGCCCUUUAUACACCUUGGUUAAUCAUGGUACUAAUGUACCCACACAGCUAACACAAUGGAAUGACAAAUCCUACAGUUAGACAUGGAAGGAGCAUCAGACUAUGUUGUGAAGACAGAAAGAGGAUCUUGUAGGAUAAAAUUCCUAUUAGCAAAAAGCAAAAACCAAAACCCAAUACCAAGUCUGUUUCUGUGUAUGUAGUCUGCAAAGACACAUGCCAUUGCUGAACUGCUGAACUUGCUUCCCUGUGGGUACUUCUUUACAGAUGUCUGUAUUGUUCACAUUUUUUAAAGCACCAAUUACUUUUGUUUAAAAAAAUACACUUAAAAAAGGCAGUAAGACAAGCUCUGUCAAUCAUCUAUAGGACAAGAAGCAAAGACACCCCAGCUGCAAUAAGCACACCUAGUGCCAGGGACCAGGGCUCCUGGGACAAACACUGAUCCAUGGCUGGUGCCCAGGGGCCUGGAACAUCUUGUUAGAUCAGAAAUUAGGGGAGUGCUUCCAAAAAUGCUGGGAUAUAGGAGGCACUCGAAGGGGCUCUCGCUGGCCAAGUCGGGAACUAUCUGAGGAACUCUUCCCCCAUCCCCAAAGGUCAAUGAUGAAGUCGACUUUUGAAAAAAUGGGAAUCCAUAGUGGAUAUAUGAAAAUAAAUGAAGGAGAAGGGAGGGAUGACUGGCAAAUGAGGAAGGAGUGCUGGGCUGCAGAAACGUCGCUUGGCAGUCAUCAUAAAGAUUGAAUCAGGCCAGAAUCAGCAACAUUUGCUGAACCUGGUCGGGGAAUGGGGAAGAGUCUCAUGAGGAACAGGGUAUGUACAUGGAGACAGUGUGUCUCCAGAGAUUUCUUAUUAGUUGAAAAGAAAAAAACAGUAACCAUGCUAUGGAGAAAGUGGACACACCUCGACUAGGUGUGCCAGGUACUCAUUUAUUGCCUCUUAACUCCAAAUUUCCCUGACCUUGCCCUUCCUUGUCACACUGAAGAGGGGGCUCUGAAAACUCCUUUACCCUUUGCCAGCCUGACCCACAGUGGGCUCUGAAGGGGCUAACAAGGCUAGAGGAGGAAGAUGGCCUUUUUCUUCUGUCUCCUUUCGUCCUGCACGGGUCCCAGCAGCAUUCCCCACCGUGACAGCUCUCUGCUCCUGUGGCUUGGCGGGGGGGCACCUCCAGUAAGUUGAUUCUCCAGCAUGGGACAGGCAGCAUAUCCCAGGCAACCACAGCCACCCCUCGGAGGUCUCUCCACCUUGGGGAACCUCCUCUGAGUUUCCACGUUCCUUCUCUGUUUUCUCUUCCCUUAGCCCUAGGGGUGAUGGCUGUUCUCUGCUAAGCUGCUUUAGAGCUCUUUUUUAUCCCUUUUAGUAGUUAACUACCUUCUACACAGUUAACAAUUACUUAUAUUAAAACCUUCCUGUUCACAUUUCCUCCUCCUUGGACUAGAUGAUCAAAACGAACAUCCCCACUGUGGGGCAGAUGGGCAUUGUGUGCCUCGAGAUGCGAUGCCCUGAGAGGCCGCGUGACGCAGGUAGUGGUUCAGCCACCUGGAAUGCAAAACCAAAUCUAAUCACGAGGAAAUCGCAGACAAACACAGAUAAGCAGCACCACCUAAAACGAACUGUAUCCUUACAAACUGUUCCUAUCAUCACAGACAAAGCUAUGGAAAUGAUCCAGAUUAAAGAAGACCAAGGAGACAUGACAACUCAACUGAUUACCUGAUCCAGACCAGAUCCAGCACCGCAGAGGGAAAGGUGCUAUAGAGGACACGAUGCGGCCAAUGGGAAUAUGAGUGGUGAGGUAUUCUAUCAGUGUUAGAUGGACGGAAUUUGACAACUGUACUGCAGUCGUCAGAGAGUAUCUUCUUCUUGGUAAGUACCCACUGAGGUAUUAGGGGUAAAAGGCCAUGACAGGUGUGGAGGCAGCAGGAGGGAGGGAGAGGGAGAGACAGGGGGUUGGCGCAAGGGAGAGAGAACGCACACACAUUUGAGAACACACAUGACAGAUAGAAUGGGACGAAAUGUUAAUAGGUGUAUCUGGGCAAAGGAUAUUUGAGCCUCAUUUGUACAGUUUUUAUUCUUGCAACUUUUCUGUAGCUUUGAAAUCAUUUCCAAGUAAAAUUAACUUUUUUAAAAGAGGCCAUACAAUAUAGCAGUGGUCCUCAACCAGGGCUGUGUCCUGGACACACCCUAGAGCACCUUAGAUGCUCUGGGACCCAGGCAUCUGUAGUUCUCAAAGUGCCCCGGUGCUUCCAAUGUGCAGCCACGGGCAGGAAACACCAGCCUAGUGGGUGAGCUCACUCACUAAAUUUCAGACAUGACGAGCAGUGCUUUUGCUCUCUGAAGAACAAGCACUGGGUAAUGCCAACACCUAGCCUCAGCUACACGGGGGAAGGGCAGAAACAAGAUGUUGAAUUUGCAUGGCCCUGGCCAACACAGACAACAUCCCCUUCUAGUGGUUCCCAGGCAAGAGAAAAAGGCAUUUCCAGGACAACUGUGCCAGGAAUUAAACACAAGUUAAAACUGGCAGGAGCUGGAAUGGUUUCCCAGACCUCAGAGCUACCUCCCCACCUCCAUCUUUUUGGUCUCACUGGUAAUAUGGCCAGUCUGGGUCCAGCUGGCAGAGCACACGGGAGGAGGCUGCUCUCUCACCAGGCAAACUGAGGACUGAGUACAGGAAGGGUGUGGAGAAUUAUCCUCUUGGGCAAGUUGAAGAACAAGGCUACUGCUUGGCAUAUUUCCCAAAGCCAUUUCCCACUCUAGAGGCCCUGUUCUGUCCUGUAGAAAGAGUGGAGAACAACCAACAUCACAGUCCAAAUAUUGCUCACCUCAGGGCCAGCCUGUGACAGGGUACCCACAGGAUGGUUCAUAUUGAAAACUGGGGGGACCAUGCUCGGGGGAGGUGGUGGUAGUGAAAGGUCACAAACAUUCUUGCCCACUGUGCAACAGGCAGGGGCAAGAGGUGGGAUGGGUCAGUAGUCACAUGAUAAAUCCCCCGGGGCCUCUGAAAUCACAUUCUGGUAACUUCCACUUUGUGAAAAGGAGUUAGUUUUUACUCCUCUCCUUUCCCGUGUCUUCUCCAUUUUCAGGUGGGACAGAUCUGCAUGAUAUUUGGGCAUCUCAAAACUGACGAGCCCAAAACUGACCAUGAGUCACACCCCCAGAUGUGUUCUCUAACUACUCCCUAGCUCUGUGACUUUGUUUCCCCAGUUGACUGAGCCAGAAACCUGGGACUCAUCCUAGAUGAGUCUUCUCUUCUCCCUUCUCUGUCCCACGUCCAAUCAAUGAUCGAAUUCCACCACUGUCCUGCCUCCAAACAGCCAGAAUCCACCGCUCACCACCGCCCCCAACAGUGCCCUGCUGCCCACUGCUAAGCUCUCUCAACUGCUAUGCCAGCCUAACUGAAGCCCAGUCACACCAAUUCAUCCUGGCUUCAGCACGGCCGGCUUGCAUCACCACCUUCUUCUCAGUUCACCUUCCAAAUCAAACCUCCAAAGAGCUGCUUCCACCUACAAGUCAGCUCUCACCUCCACAGGAUGUUCCGUAAGACACUAGAGGGCCUGGGCUUUCCUGCUUCUCCAACUUCUUUCCCCAGCCUUGUAUUUUAAGCUCCCUGCACACACAAUUUUGUUUCACACUCUUGUGUACCAUCUUUCAACAAAGCCUAUCCAGCCUCCAAGCUUGGGCAUCUCCUCCAGGAAGUCACCCCUGACCUCUCCGGAACUCCCCUUUGGACUCCCAUUCUAUUACUACAACCACUGCAGUGUGAAAAUUAUCUUCUCCUAUGUAUGUCUCCUAUACUAGGACUCCGAACUCCUUGAAGACAAGGACAGUAUCGCCACUGUAUCCCCAGUGCAUUGCACAAAGUAGAGCUCUAUAUUUCUAGGAUAUACUGGACUGAAAGCAUCUGUGGUUUUUUGAAUAUCAAGCCCUUUAGAAUCUGGCAACAGCUAUAACGAAAACACACGUAAACCAUGAUGAACUAUAGACAGCACCAACAAAGAAAACAUGAUACUGCUGCUCUGGAACUGAAAUAUCCCCCAAAUAAUGAAAAAUAAUAUGUUGGGGGCUGAUACAGAGUUUAUUGAAUUAGAUUUUUCUAUUUACAACUGAGAUCACAUCUACAUACUAUUUUGCUAGUCUACAUGGGUACAUUAUUUCCAACAAGCUUAAGACUUACCAUGAAUGGGCUCAUUCAUACAAAAACACACUCACACUAAUUCUUUUAAAACAGUAGUGCAUACAUUAUACUCCUCCUAUAAAGCCAACUUUGAUUAAAAACCACUAGUUUCAAAGCUCAGUCUCUGAUUUUGAAGAUGAACCAAGAUAUACGCCAUAUGAUCCUACAAUCUAUUUUAGUCAUUUUGUACAGCUGCUAUCUUAUUGGACUACAGUAAAUAUUUUUUAAAAGGACACCAAUGAGGGGCACCAUCUGGUGUUAACCUUAACCAGAAAGCUGGUUUCCUCCUCCUCCCCGCAAAAACCUUUGGCCAAGAGUUCUCCACUGUGAAGACUGAAAGGACCUGGUGACAUUUCGGCAUCAGUCCUGUUACCACUUGGAGGUAACAGAAGCAGGCUCGUGUCCUCCUUUAAUUCUACCACACUACAUGACUCGCAAUUGGUUCUGAAAUUAGAACGUUCACCAUCGUACUUAAAAUCUUAGGGGCAUGAAGAGUCAGCUAGAACAAGGAAAAAGAAAGUCGCAGGUAGUAGGUAAGUAGGUGGGCACAUGAAAAGCCAAGCUGCUCUGUCCAACACCAGUGUACAUGUGCUUUAACUAAAUGAACUCCAGAGGCCAACAGCAGCAGACCUGCUCAAUUCACCUUCCAAAUCAGAACAAGACCAAAAAGCUCAGGCUUGAGUUGUCAACUAUGCAUAGGUUCCGCCAGUGAUGAGGAGCUCGUAAGCAGGAUCUCUACUCCUUCUGCACAACACGAUGCAAGCACACAGCAUGCCCAGCAGCUGUUGAAAGAAAACAACAAUGGGGAAAAAAGGCUGAAAACCCUCUCAUGGCAGGUGUGUAUUUCUUUGUUGGUAAAAGAGCUGUUUCAAAGUUCAAUGACUUCAAAUCAUCAAAAAGGCAGUAACAACAGUGAUAGAAGGAAUUUCUUAUGAGUACAUUAUUUUUUAAGGAACUAAGUCCUAAGCUUCAGCUUCCCUCCCAGGAACUCUUCGUAAAGCCAGCAGGGAAUCAAGUCUCUCUUAUUUGGCAUCCCCACUACUAGUCUAGCGAGUGCUGUCCGAAAGAACUUUCUGCAGCGAUGGAGACAUACCACAUAUGCACUGUCAUGUGGCCUCAUGUGACUACUGAGCACCUGAAAUAUAGUUACUGCAACUGAGUUGCACUUUUAAUUUUAUUUAAAUUAAUUUAAAUGUAGACACAUGUGGCUAGUGGCUACCAUUCUGGACAGCAAAGGCCUGGGGAGUAGAAUGAGCAAGAAUGUGUGUGUUUAAUAGUGGUCUUUUCAGGUCUUUUGGUUUUUGGAAAACGAAAUUCAGUAUGUGAAUAGCCCUAUGGUAGAAAACAAAUUCUGAUGCCAAAAAAAAUGUAGUUGGAAGGUUUUUUGUUUCCUUCACAUUCACUAUUUUUGAAAUCCACGGUUCUGUGGUAUUACAUACAUAUUACUUUUGAAAGGUCACUCUUCCGUCAUCAUUUUAUUUCAAUAAGUCCUAAACCUUCUGUGGUAGCAUAUUGGAAUAGUAAUAAAGUCAUGCCAUGUUAUUUUGGAUAAGCAAAAGGAUUAAGCUGGAUUAAAGAGAAAAUGAUUCUAGAAUUUUUGACCUACCUUCUCCCAAAAUAUAAUUUUUUUGUGAGAUAAUUUGCUGUUCUAACUUCUCAUUGAUGAGGAAAAGCCUCAGUUAUUUGAUUUUAAAAGACAGGGUCCUCUGUACAUUUGGGGGUCAAUCUAAUUUCCGCAAAAUGUACCCAAUCCAUAAACAGACUCUCAAAGUUUGAAGUGGAAGAUUAACCACUACUAAGACACACAUACACAUAAGGAUGUCCUCAAUCUGAAUUCUCCAUGGUAUAAAGUCACCCACUCCAAUUUCUACCCUCACAUUAACCUAUAUUCUGCCCAUUCGGGAUAUAUAUUUCCUGCUCAAAUCCAUCAGUUUCACUAUUUCACCACUUGCACCAUUUGCACCAUUUCACCAUUUGCAAAGCACCUUAAACACACUUAAGAGGUGAAUAUUAUUUAAAGUUUACUAAACAAUUUAAGUCAAUUCUAGACCGAUGAAGUACCUAAUUCCUAGAGAAAUACAUUUCUGUUCUCUGUACAUCAAAACAUUGUUAGAACAGCUAUAAACUCAAAUGCAAUUAUGUUCUCAGGCAAUGUUAAAUUGAGCAAUAAAAAUGCUAAGCUCAGAAAUGACUGGUUUGCUAAGGGAAAAAAAAUCUCUCUUCCCACCCCCACCUCCCCACACUCCUUUCAAUUGGUUAACUUCUAUUAGAGAAGCCAGCAUUCUCAAAAUGAGGUCUGAAAUAAGUAUUUCUUUCCCAAUUUGUUUAUUUCAAUGAAAUCAACUUGUAUUGAUUUUAAAACAAAUAAACUUGAUAAAAUUCUACUCAUGCUUGGGAAUCAGUCUGCUUAAGAAUAUUAAGCUCUACAUAAUAAUUUCUUAUCCUCACCAUUAACUAUUACAGGCUCAUUUCCAAAGGCCUGCUAUACUGAAAUUCCAUUGAUUUUUGAAACAUUCCAACAACAUACUUGGAAACAUUACACAAAUAUUUUAUCUCCAACAUUAUUUCUUGCAAUGAAAUACUCUCUUGCAAUAUUCAAGGCAUGAGAAUUAAACUUCACUUAGCCCAAAUAUAACACCCAGCAACUGCAAAAAUUGAAAAAAAUGACUAGUGGUGAUUAAAAAAACUGACUGGCAAAGUAAAAUGUUCUAUGAUAUACCAUGUUGCUGGUGGUAUGGGGAAAUAGGCAUUCUUAUACAAAAAUAAGAACUUUUGCACAUUAGAAACACUCUUUUCUGAGAAAAAAUUGGAAAUACCUAUCAAAAUUCAUUCAUACAUUCUGAUACUGUAAUUUCAUAGUUACAAAUUUUUGCUAUAAACAGCCCAUCAAUAUUGAUUAAAGUAUGCCUAUAAAAUGGAAUACUAUGCAGACAUGAAAUUAAAAAGGCAGAUCUAUAUCCAAAAUACACUAAUUUGUUUUUAAGAAGGUACAAAAGGUUGCAAACUAUAUGAAUUCAUUUAUAUAACAUUUUGCAAUGUUGGCCAGGGUGUGAGGGGAAGGAGGAGGAAGUUUCUCAUUUUAACGAAUAACUGGUAAUUGAGGAGGAGGAGGAAAGAGCAGUCUCCACCGGCUUCACAUGCGGCACAGAGACCAGAAAAAAAGCAACAUGGCCUUGGGAAACAGUUCUUUAUGAAAUCUGCUCUUGAUCGUUCUAUCUUGAGGAUAUGCCAACUUCAUGAGACCCCAAAGUAAAGACUUAGAACAUUUUCCCCGUAUUGCCUUUGUAGAGAGACAGCCUUACUCACAGCAGAUACUCAGGAGCUUGACAAAUCAAAAUCUAGAUUUUUGUCAAUUAUUAUGACCAGAUUCUUUAAAUAUAAAAUUCAUAAUUGAUCAUGAGUUAAGAGAGUGGCUACUCUCAAAGAAGUGAAAUAUCCUGCUAAUUAAUAAGGGGUACAUCAAAAUUUUUAAAACCUCAUUCUUUUAUAUUCAAAAGUCCUGUUAUUAUAAUUAAUUGGUAUUUUUCAGGUUUUUCUUUCUUGGUCACUUUGGUCCUACCCAAAUCUAGAUUAUUUAAUGGACUAGAGCAAGAGUCACCAAACAUUUUCUUAAAGGGCCAUAUCAUAAAUAUUUUAGGCUUUCCAAACCAAGACAAAAAUCAAUCAAUAUUGUAACUACUCAACUCUGCCAUCUUACCUCUGUAUUUUAUCCAGCUAAAGUGUCAAUUAACUGUCAGGUUUCCUGACAAAAUUUAGGAAUUUAAUCUUCUGCAAAUCUUAUACUUGUAAUUGGAGGCAGAGUACAAACAAAGGCAGGGGUCUCUAGAGUUGACACUCUGUGUGAUGGUCAUGCCACACUAUCCUUGCUCACCCAAAAUUUUGUGGCUAAACAAAGAGGGCCAAGACUGGAGACUCUCCAACCAUCCUCUCCAGCUCUAAAUGUCUAUAUUAGGAUCAGUGUAUAAGCACAAAAGCUCACUGAUCUUUCAGUUAUUUCUGCCUUUGUUCAGGUUUUCCACACCCAGGGCACCAAUCUAUCAGAUUUUGAAUACCAGAAGCUUAGAAUGUUUACAGGUACUCUUAAAAACAAUUAGGGAAAAUUAUUAAUUCAGAUAAAUUUUCUCCCCUUAAAACCCAAGUUUUUAAAAUUUUCAAAACCACUAGGUUUUGAGUCUGUGAAAGCUCUGAAUCCCUAAACUUAAGCAGCCUUGCUGAAGUGAAAAAAUCAAGCUUUAUCAGCUUUUACUUAAGUCAGGGUGACUUAAGUAUAAAACACAUAUGGCAGUCAUAUUUAAAUUAAGAGACUAGUUAAAAUAUUUAUUAGCCCCUAUUGAAAAAUAUUUAAUAAAGAAAUGUCUGGCAGGCUAAGCCGCUUAACUAGAUGAGGGACAUAGCUAAAGUGAUUAUUUUUAUCAGUCUUCUAUAUACAUGUUGCAUAUUUCAUGACCACAAGUACCAUACAGUUCCAAAACUUUUUUGCUGCAUGCUAGUACAUGUGGCUUUAUUACUGAACAUAAAAUCAUUAAGAAUGCACAGUUCAGAAUUCUAUUUGGGAAAAGAGACCUUCCUCAUAUUUCAUUAUUUUUAGCUAAAUGAAUGUGUUUGCAUAAAUAAUCAAAAUAUGAAAUAAAUCCCUGCUGAUCAUCAGAUUACUGCUAUGCAGAGCUACAGAGUAAAUGCUUAGAAGGGCAAAGACCAUGGCAAAUAAAGAGGUAGGCUUUUUAAUGAAUCAUUUCAGGGCUGUCUGAAUAUCAGCAAAGUAAACAAUCAUCCUUUUGCCAUUUUAAAAGGCCUUUCCCAUUAAAUACACUAGCUUCUGUUCAAAUAUACAAAGAGCAAGCAAUCCAAGCAACUUACAUUUAAACUAGCAAUUACAUUGGUUUUAUUUAACAAAUAAAAGUUAUCUACAUUUUUCUUUUUUAAAAAAAAUUUUUUUUUUGGUAGAAAUGGAGUCUUAUUGCCCAGGCUGGUCUCAAACUCCUAACAUCAUGGGAUCCUACUCCUCGGUCUCCCAAAGUGCUGGGAUUACAGGUGUAACCCAUCACACCUGGCUCUUUUAGCUCUUGAAAUAGGUUUCAGGCUUAAGAAAGCAUAAGCUGAGGCUGGGCGCGAUGGCUCACGUCUAUAAUCCCAGUACUUUGGGAGGCCGAGGCAGGUGGAUCACCUGAGGUCAGGAGUUCAAGACCAACCUGGCCAACAUGGUAAAAACCUGUCUCUACUAAAAAUACAAAAAUUAGCUGGGCAUGGUAGCGGGAACCUGUAAUCCCAGCUACUUGGGAAGCUGAGGCAGAAGAAUCACUGGAACCUGGGAGGCAGAGGUUGCAGUGAGCUGAGAUCACACCAUUGCACUCUAGCCUGGGCAACAAAAGCAAAACUCUGUCGUAAAAAAAAAAAAAAGAAAAGAAAAGAAAAGAAAGCAUAAGCUGGGUGCGGUGGCUCACGCCUGUAAAUCCCAACACUUUAGGAGGCCAAGACAGAGGAUUGCUUGAGGCCAGGAGUUUGAGACCAGCCUGGGCAACAUAAUGAGACCCCAUUUCUGGAAAAAAAAAAAAAAAAUUAAAAAUUAGUCUGGUGUGGUGGCCCGUGCUUGUAGUCCCAGCUACUGGAGAGGCUGAAGCAGGAGGAUCGCUUGAGCCCAGGAGUUCAAAGUUACAGUGAGCUAUUAUCAUGUCAUUGCACUCAAGCCUGGGUGACAGAGUGAGACCUUGUCUCUAUUUUUAAAAGUUGUUGUGUUUAGUGCAAGAGACCAGUGCUGUAGUACCAGUUCUUGAUUUACGUAUAUGAAUAUAUAAAACCUGUGAGGACAGAAAAACAAGAACUAGAGGGAGAACUAGCAUACAAAAAAACUGAAUAAAGCUUUGUAUUCCCAAACUGAAAGAAAGAAGUACAAUUUUUAAAAAUUUUGUGACAUUCUAAUAAAAUAUCUUCCAAGAAUACACUAAGACAACAGUUCGUUUAUGUUUUGAACAGGUCACUCACUAAUCAAGAAAGACAGUAAGACGAGGAGUUCCCUCAACACGUGGUCCCUCCCCAUCCAGAUUUCUGGUUUCUUUAGACCAUUCCGGGUCUAGGUGUAUAGACAAGAAAUGGAAAACAUGGGAAACUGGAGGCCAGUACCUCAGUCACUUCCACAUUACCUACAUACACAAAGAUUCACUGUGAUGGGGAUUAAAACCAUUCAGGGCUGACAACAGAGAACCAACUCACUCCGAUAGAACUCCUUGGCAAGCUGUGCUUACCUGAAUAGCUGCAAAUGCCAGUGCGGCCCAGAUCACAUGCAUCAUGAUUUCUUGUAGCUUCUUCACUACUAGAGCCUCACACCCCUGUAACAAACACAGUCAUCCUCGUUAGAAGUGUUCUUUAAAAGUUAAAGCUGCAGAUUCACAGGCCACUACCCACUUACAGAAAGGAAAAUGACAGAAACUGAAAGAGUGGAAAAAAGAUUCCAUGAUUGGUAUAAUUUACAGACAUGUAAUUAAAACAAAGACAUGCAUUUUAUAAUAAUUUACAGUAAAACAAUAUAUGACAUUAAAGACAAGCAAGGUGGCAGAAAAGAAGUCCCAGAUGGUGAUAAGACAUGGUGAAAAACAGGUUAAUCAAGCUAGACUCAAGUCGUGGCCAAGAGACUCACCUCAGCAUAGAGGUCGGAAGGGUGGGCCAGGCUGCCAUUACAAUUGCUGGCAGUCUCUCUGCAGCAGCUAAGAGGGACACUCUGGUUUUUGGUUUCUUUGAACCAAUCUGUAUUUUCCCAGUCUGAGUAGUUGUGAAUUCCACAACAAUGCAGCUAAAGGAGAAGAGAAUAAGUAUUAUUUCUCACAAAAACCAAAUACCUGAAGUUCCAUGUACUACAGAGCUUUAAAAUAAGCUACUCUAGACCAGUGAUGUCCGAUACAACUUUCUAUAAUGGAAAGUCUGCAUGAUCCAAUAUAGCAGCCACUAGCCACAUGAAGCUCUACUGAGCACUUAAAUUGUGGCUAGUGUGACUAGAAAACUGCAUUUUAAAUUUUAAUGUAAACAGCCAGACAUGGCUAGUGGCUCCAGAAUCUCCAUAUGAAAAGUACAUUGCCAGGCCGGGUGCAGUGGCUCACGCCUGUAAUCCCAGCACUUUGGGAGGCCGAGAUGGGCGAGUCACCUGAGGUCAAGAGUUCAAGACCAGCCUGACCAACAUGGUGAAACCCCGUCUCUACUAAAAAUACAAAGGCUGAGGCAGGAGAAUCACUUGAACCCGGGAGGUGGAGGUUGCAGUGAGCCAAGAUCGCGCCACUGCACUCCAGCCUGGGCAACAAGAGUGAAAUUUCGCCAUCUCAAAAAAAAAAAAAAAAAAAAAAAAAAAAAAAAAAAAAAAAAAAGAAAAGAAAAGUACAUUGCCUAUAAGCGGUAGUUUCUAACUAAGGAAAAUCUUCAUGUCUUACAUGUUAAAUAUCUGGUUCCAUGUUAAAUAUUAUUUCCAAUGACAAAGUAUUUAAAAUAUUUGGUCUUAAAAAUUUUGAGAUUUGCUUUAAGAUAAUGAAGCAAAAAGUAAGUAGGGGCAAUAAGACUGACGAAAAGUUGAUAUUACUGAGGCAAGGUCGGGGUGCAAACAUCUAUUACACUAUUCUUUCUACCUUUGUGUGUAUCAGACUGUCCAUAACAACUUUUUUUUGACAGUUUUUCUGUUGCCUUUUCUUAUCUUGUUUUCUAAAGGUAUAUAUAGACCUCCCACCUCCCCUGGAGUCAAUCUGGACUCCCACCUUUCCUGUGACACAUACCUCUCUCUUGCGUCAUCACCCCUUUGGCUAAGUACUUUGGGAGAGUACAGACUGGGGUCAGGGAAGGGGAAAUCAGAUGAUAAAAAAAAGUUCAAGAUGUUUCUCAUCUGGCUAGGUGAUGAAAUAAACUUUUCAAGGGUGAAGGUUGGGGAAAAAUAUUGGUCACAUCAGGAUAGCCAUGUAUGUGAAGAAACAUGGCUAAUUUACACAGAAAUAGCAGUUAGUUUAAUGUUGACCCAAUCGUGAUUGGUCCUCAAAAACAAAUCUGCCUCAAGAAAGCUCACCUGUCUCUGUACAUAAUCAAUAGCCCGGCUAGCAGCAUCAGGGUUGGUUCCAUUGUAGGUCUUAUACACUUUCUGAAUGCUGCGAUCAACCUCAUUUUCCACCUGAAUCAGAACAAAGAAUUCAGUCCCUCAAAAAUACUAGUAAAAGUAACAUUAGUCAAGGCUCCUACUAAAAUACUUAAAUGAAAUGUUUGCAAGUUGCCAGAUAUCUAUGAAUUUCCUGUAAAGUUUUCUCCCUUCCUGCCUUCAUCUUCAUAUAGAUAUAGAUGAAGGCAGGAGGGAGAAAAGUGACAGGUAAAAAUUCAGACAUAUACCACAUACAUUCAAGCAUUCAAAGAGAAGAUUGUGUGCAAAAUGGCAGGCUAACAAUGUAUUCAAAAGGGAGAAAAGUUGAGGCUUGGGAUAGAUGUCCUAAAUUAUAAAUGGAUGCCUUCCUUUUACAAAUAAGUUACUCAUUUUCCUUUCCUAAAGGAGGUAAAACAAAGUAACUCUGAAGCUCCUGUAAGAUACUUUUAGGACAAAUGCCAACAUUAUUUCCAUUUUAUUUAUUCAACGUUUAGAGUUGGCUAAAUGUGCAAAAGUAAUCGGCAGGUUUAAAAAAAUCAGUCCUUAGAAAUGGCACUUUAUGAAAAAGCUACUGUUCAAUGUAUUGCAAAAAGGAGACAGGAAACAAGCUUCAUAGCUUAUUGCUGCCAAUUACUAAAAUGGCAAGCAAGUAUCACUUAGUAAAGUUUGCUUGUACCAGAUCCUCCUUACCCCUCGGAGGACUGGACUUAUCUGGUAAUUACAACAGUAAUAUCAUAAGUCCAUAAAAUUGAUAACCAGAUCAUAGGUAGGGACAUAAUCCAUUGCAUUUUUUUUUUAGCACAGCUUUACAGUACCUUACGUAUCAAUGAUCUGAAAAUUAACUUGGCAUAUUAUGCCCUUGACUCAAAACCAUUAAGUUAUAAUGAGAAUGAGUCUAUUAUGUCUUUACCAUGCCUCUAAAAUUAUACCCAUAUUAAUUAAUUUAAAGCAGCCUGUUUAGCCUUAAGUAGUACUACAGGUAGACAGCAAAAUCAGGCAAAAUAGAAAGGAAGGAACGGUGAAAUGAUUAAAAAGAAUGAAGGGCAAGAAAGGAGUGCUGGCACCAGCUGCCUUGGUGUUCUAAGUUGGCAGGACCCCUUGUUCCUCAGGACAGGGGUGGAAGGUGGGAUCACAACUCACAACACCUUUUUCUAUGUUUAGGACCAAAGCAUUUUUUAAAGAGACAAUGGAAAACGCAAUUCUGAGUUUGGUUCUUCUAAAGCAGAAAUCAGAAAAUUAUGCCUCCCCUCAUAUAGGCAAUCUGUGUGCUGAGGAAAUCUGAACAAACUUCUCAGCUAAUUAUUCAUUUGCAGCUAUAAAUACCUAUAAUCAAGAACAAUACAUAUAUAACACUCUGCUAUAUUAAAUGAGGUAAGGAGUCUUGACAUGUAAAUAUUUGCCAAUUAACUUUAGAUAUUUGAAAUACAGAUUAAACAAGUAAGGCAAAAGAAAAUGUUUACUCUGAUAAAAUGAAUGUGUUCUAUUUUACUUGAAACACUUAAACCACCUUUUAAGGCAUUAUGUGAAUUACAGUAGACAACAUACCUUUGCUCUGUAAACAUAUCCCAAAACCACUACAACAACUUCUGUGACAAAAACCAAGAGCAGGAUGAUGACAAACUGUAAGAAAACAUGGUUUAAAAUUAUAUACAAAUGAAAAAAUAACUUUAAAUACACUCUUGAUUUAAAAAAAGUUAUCAGAGAUAAUUGCUAGAAGUUUAAAUGUUAACUCUGUUCCAACUAUAAGAGCCAAGGAGUCUCAUGUUCAAGGAGAGUAGCAUAGACUAAAUACUCCUGCAUGUUCUCACAACACAUCUUACCGUGGCAAGUCCACAGCGACUUUCCCGGAUUGUGGCACAGCAGCCAAUUAGCCCAAUGAUGAAAAGCAGGGCUCCUACAGCUAUGAUCACUACAGCAGGGAUGAGCGUGUACACAUCUUCAAAGAAGUGGUCAUAGUCAUCAUAAGUGAUGAAGACAUAGGCUCCCACAUAGCAUAAAAUGCCAGCUGCCCCCUGUAGAAAACAAAGUCAGUACUGGUCUCUAAGCACUGCUGGUAAAAAUUUCCUAUUAUUGCUUAGUAUGGUAUAAUUUAAUGAGAGUUACCGUAACUGUUAUAGACUUUUUUCAGUAAAGCUGAAAAUUCUAUGAUUCCUUGUUAAGAGCAUUUCUAUACUAGAUAAAAUUAAAAAGUUAUCCACACUUCACCUACUUUUCACGAAUUGAUGGUUCAGCUAGGACCAAGAAACCAUAACCAAAUAAUAACAAUGAUGAUGACACACACCUACACAUCCCUAAAGGCUUACUGUAGCUCAAUUCCACAUCCAAUACGGAUCAGUAUGGUGGUAGGGGGAUCUUUGCUCACUACAGUUGCCCUCAAUAAGUGGGGAAAUUUGGUAGAAAUGACAGAGCUUGGAUUUGAACUCAGGCAAUCUGACUCCAGAAUCUACACUUCUAAUCUCUAUCUACCCCACCUCAAGGAAAAGAAAAUACACCAACUAGUAAGCAUGAUACCCACCCCACUUCCAAAAAUCUUGCUGUCCUAGAGACAGUGAAAUGGCAAAGCUAGAGGGCUCAGUCAUUAAAGAACACUGCAAGUCCUCUAUCAAUUCUUUAGAAUGGUGGUUCUCAAACUUUGAAGUGAAUAGGAAUUGCCUGAGGAUCUGAAUAACAAGCAGAUUGAUUCAGGAGGUCUGAGGAGGAGCCUGAGAGUCUGCAUUUCUAACAAGUUCCCAGGUGAUGCUGGUGCAGCUUCUUCUUGGAGCGCACUCUGAGUAACAAGGUAUUAAAGACCUAAAGGGAAAGUGAACACACAAAGACAAGUGAUAGGUGUGUCUUAUUUCAGCUGCUGCUCCAGGCAUCAUUCUCCAGCUGCAGAGUCUUACUUUCUCCGCUAUUGUCAAUUUUGCUAUCUUUGGGUACCAGCUCUGUGCUGACAGCCCAAUGCCACUGGCUCAUAUACAAACAAGCAAAUGCAGUGUCAGAGUAAGUGUUAAAACAUUUGGUUAUCACUUGGAUAACAAUGAGUUAUCAUUUGUAGAGUACUUUGAAACUUUCACAAGAAGUAUUUCAUCAUCCUUUAAAAUUUAACAUAUAAAUCAUCUUCAAACUAGAAACAGCUGCCACAGUGAUACUGGAAAUAUCAUUAACUUCUCUGAACCUGAAAACCCAGAUCAUUUAAGUUUAUGAAAUUCAGUAAGCUUGGGGAUCAUCAGUAUAUUUUUUUACACUAGGCCAUUAGGAUCACUGUCAGAUGAGGAAGAAAAAGACUCCAUUUAUGUAAAUUUGGGAAAGUAAUUUGAUUUUUUAAAAUGUAACAUGAACUUUUUAAAGUGAGAAGACAACUAGAAUAAUGAAGGCAAUUUUUAAAAACAUUGUUUUAAAACUCUCUUCCUCUGGCUUCCAAGAGGCCCCACUGCUGGUUUUCUUCCUACUUCCCCAGGUGCUCACUUUUUCAUUCUCUUCACGGACUCUGAGAUGUUAGUGAUCUCCAGGAUUCUGUCUUCGGCCUUAUUCUUUAGUCAUUCUCUGGGCUCUCCGUGGGCUACAGCAGCUAUGGCUUCAUUAGUCAUUGUAGCUCACUACCUGAGCUAUCAUCUCAGAACUACACAUUUCCAUCUGCAAGUUCCAGAGACAUGUCAUCCUCAACCUGUCUCAAACCCUUUCUGCCUUCCUGCCCAGCCCAUCUAAUCUUCCCUUACAUUCCUAUCAUAGCAAAAGGUACCAGACAUCUAAUUUUUCUGGUCAAACAUCUGAGGAUUAACUUUCCUUGCCCCACCUCUAUAACCCAUAAAUCACAAAACUUCAACUUUACUUCCAAAACAUUAUUCGAAUACCUCAACUCCUCUUCAACCCCACUGCAGUGCUUCUGUCUUAAUUUGGGCCUUAUCUUAUCCCCCUAAAUCUUACUUAUUGACUCUCCCUGCAUCUUAAUACAUUCUUUAUACUACCAGGGUUAUAUUUAUUAAAAAUACAAACCAGAUCAAGCCAUAGCCUUACUUAAAAUCAGGAUGAGGCAAGUGAGUCCCCGAUGAACCAAGCUAUUCCUCCUUUUCAGCCCCAGAUCUCAUUACCCCUUGUGAACUAUGAACAAUAUAGAACUGUUAUACCCAAAUGGACCACAUAUUCUCUCACUUCUUUGCCUCCGCUGUUCUCUCUAGAAUGCUCUCUUCAAAUGCCUGGGAACUCCUUGUCGCUCAUUAAGAUGAAGCUUAAAUGUUACCUCUUCCUUUUGGAAGCCAUUCUUGACCAUUUCAGGCUGGAUUAGCUGCCCUUGGUGGACACAAACAUCUCCCAGUGCAUGGUUCUAACAGAAUAUUUAUCGAAACGGUUGCAAUUAUAGCUAUACCUGUCUCAACACACCUUGAGAGCACGAAUUGUACCCAUCUGUCCUUCACCCUUGUAUCAUCUAGAACAGUACUUGGCAGACAGCAGGUAUCAGUUAAAGUUUAUUGAGUACACCUCAUCUCACCCCUUUCCCUUGAAAUCACCCUCCCAACUCUAUCAUAAGCUUUGGUUUGUAUUUGCGUUGGUUUGUAUUUGUAUUUGGUUUGUAUCUGGUUUCUCUUCAGUUCAAUGCUUAUAGCUUUUAGUUCACUAUUCAAUUAUUUGGCAACUGAAUCCAGCUUGCUGAAUUCUGAUGGCCAUUACAUCUGGAAUAUGUUAAUAUAUCGUAAAUAUGUCAUAAAUAUAAACACUGUACUUACAGCAAACUGCCUGUUCAAAGGUUCUCAGAGUUCACUGACAUAUUUGCUUUUGGGGCAUGGUACUAGAGAAUGAAGGUGAGCACAAAAGUGGGGGGGAGUGGAGAAGAGAAAUAGUUUAAUUUAUCUUAAUUUUAUUUUAUUUUAUUUAUUUUUUGAGACGGAGUCUCACUCAGUCGCCCAGGCUGGAGUGCAGUGGCGCAAUCUCAGCUCACUGCAGG